AGCGAACGCUGGCGGCAUGCCUAACACAUGCAAGUCGCACGGGGGGGCUUCGGCCUCCCAGUGGCGGACGGGUGAGGAACGCGUAGGGACCUGUCGAGGGGUGGGGGAUAACCGCGGGAAACUGCGGCUAAUACCGCAUGACGCCGCGGCGUGACAGCCGGGGCCAAAGGCGAAAGCCGCCCGCCGAGGGGCCUGCGUCCGAUUAGCUGGUUGGCGGGGUAGCGGCCCACCAAGGCGUCGAUCGGUAGCUGGGCUGAGAGGGUGAUCAGCCACACCGGGACUGAGACACGGCCCGGACUCUUACGGGAGGCAGCAGUGGGGAAUAUUGGACAAUGGGCGCAAGCCUGAUCCAGCAAUGCCGCGUGGGUGAAGAAGGUCUUCGGAUUGUAAAGCCCUUUCGGCGGGGACGAUGGUGACGGUACCCGCAGAAGAAGCCCCGGCUAACUUCGUG
rnacentral:rRNA from 1 species